GCCAAUCGCAGGGCUAACACAGAGACAUACAACCAUUCACACUCACAUUCAUACACCUACGGGCAAUUUAAAGUCCCCAAUUAACCUGAUCCCCAGAGCAUGUCUUUGGACUGUGGGAGGAAGCCGGAGAACCCAGAGAGAACCCACGCAGACACGGGGAGAACAUGCAGACUCCACACAGAAAGGCCACUGGGUGGAAUCGAACCCAGGACCUUCUUGCUGUGAGGCGACAGUGCUAACCACCACGCCACCGUGCCGCCCUGAAUAAAACAUAAACAGUGCUAUUUGUUUGGAAGCCUAUCCCUAUAUAUAAGUAUAUGAUGACAUUACCAUGGUUAUUUAAUCACAUUAGUUCAUCCGUAAACCUUGCACUUAAGGAACACUAUACUCUACCUACUGAGCUACAAGAACACGCAUGAAUCGCAAAUCUGCCUUUAAUCUAUGGUUUCAAAGGUUUAAGUAUACAUCUGAAAGGAUGUAAUGUUGGGUGGGGACACCUGGAGAUGGAGAGAACACAACAAAGAAAGGUUGUUAAAUUACCCUUCACUGCUACAACAUAAACUUUGCCCCACUGACUACCAGCAUCCAUCAGUGCUCUACAGUGCUCCACAGUCCCCACUGCUGGGGGGGACUGAAUAAAUACCAUGUGGGCUGCUAUCACCAGAUUGCUGCUCUGCACGUUCUCACUCCCGAUGUGAUUGUUCAGUGGACCUAAAACUCGUACGUACGCCUGUGGCAUCAGAGAAGCAAGUGUCACUAUCUGCUCAUCACAUGUAUACCAUCUUUUCAAAAUAAACUUCUGUGUUCUAACGAAAGCCCUAACCUUCGGUUUAGGUUUGGGCUCCUUAUACAGCCAUAUCAUGGAACAUUCUUUAUUAUUAUUUAUUUUUUUACUGACUCUUAAUCAGUGGCCUUUGGUCAUGCAGACAAAUGUUGUAAGUAAUUCCAAGAUCCAUAACUAUUUUAAAGACGAUUGAGGAUAUUUUCAUAGCAGUGAUUGUGUACUUUUUCUGACAUGGAAUCAGAAUUCUUGAUUGAUGCAAACUGCUUGAUGAAGUUUGUUCAACCCUGUUUGUUUUUAAUUCAUUUGUUAUUUUUGCCUUUGGUUUGUUUAAGUGCAUUAUUUGUGUUUACUAUGCAUGUUCCCUGUACAUCUUAGCCAGGACACCGUUAUGAAUGAGAUUGAUCAUGAUUCUGGUUGUGUUUUGAUAAAGAAAAAGUUUGAAGCUAAGGGGUCACUGACCAAUCUGACCAAUGACCAAUCUUUGGUAUUUGAUGAAUUGUGAAUGAGAAGCUGUGAACAGACUGUCUGGCUGCUUUAUUAGGUUAUCUGUACAGAGAGAGCUCUCAUUCACCAGUGACUUCUAGAAAGUGUGUCUCUAGCACAUGAUAAUCAUUCAUUUUACAAACCAUUGCAUUUUUCACAAGGCUGCCAAAAUGGGAGCUGCAGUUUCUGCGCAAACAUUACUUAAGGAAAUAGAGGAUUUCUGGAGAUUGUUUUUAGCAACCGAUCAAUGCAGAUUUAGUGCUCUGGGCAUUAGUGCAGCCCCAAACUAGGGGAAGAGGCACCCUGGGCAGGUGUGGGUCUACUCACGAGCCAUUGGCUGCUUGUGCUUUGUUUAAGUUUUCUGUGUGGAAUUCGACAGAGGCCCCUUGCAAUAGCAAAUCACUGAGAGGAAACCUCCAACUGAUGUUUUUGCUCAGUCACACAACAGUAGUUCAGAGUAGCCAUCUUCAACUCAAAGUCUAACUCAGCCUGAAAUAUAUAAUGCUCCAGAGGUAAAGCAUAUCUUACAUAAUUAAAUAAAAUAAGAAGAAUAUUACAAUCUCUGGCUGUUAAGUCUUUAAUUGCGAGCGCAAAUAGCUUAAGCCUAAAUAGUUGCAAGCAGUUGUGAUCAGACCAGAGCAGAGCAGCAUCUGUGCGACUGUGGGUGAGUGGGGAGCGCGGUCGUCCUCCAAUCGGAGGGUUGUCGGUUCGAUCCCAGGCCCGGCUAACCCGUCACUGUGUAUGGUUCUCCUGUCAUCAGUGUAUGAAUGGGUGUGAAUGGGUGAAUGAUGUCAUGUAGUGUUGUAGUUUGAGUGGUCAGAAGACUAGAAAAGCGCUAUACAAGUACAGGCUAUUUACCUGUUUUUGUACUUCAAUGUCAAUUGAUGCUUUGAUAAAAUACUGACAGAUAAUUAGUUUUGAUAAGUAAUCAUCAGUAAUGUGGAUAUAACAACUGGAUACAGGGAUAGAGUGGACCAGGGUUCGUACGGUAAUGGAAAACCUGGAAAAGUCAUGGAAUUUCAAAAUGGUCAUUUCCAGGCCUGGAAAAGUCAUGGAAAGAAAUAAAAUCCUAAAGGUUUUGGAAAAGUCAUGGAAAUUUUUUAUAUAUCUAUGGCCAUGUGGUUCAUUUAAGAUUACGUUUGAAAUCAUUCAUAUGGUUUUAAAGAGACGCAGGACGCUCUGAUACUCGCAGCGCAAAUAAUUCGCAUCGCGACUGUAUAAACGCGCCUUGACUGAAAUGUUCGGUAGCUCAAGAAUCAUCCAGCGUCAGGGAAGUGUAGAUUUAACCGUGGUUGGCUACAUAUGGAAAAGUGCAUCUCAUGAGUUACGACAAACAAAGACCCGGGACGAGCAGAAUGUAAGUAAUAUGGAGGCGGAACAUUAUAUAUUUUAAACAUGGGAGAGCGGCAUUAACGAGCCGUGCUAAAGGAAACAGACAUCACUGCGCCGCUGCUAGCGAAGCUACUACAGAAACCCCAUCAGAGGGUGACUGCUAGCGAAGCCACCAUGCCGAGCAGCACGUCUCUCUUCGGCCACCGCCGCUGUACGCGACACCGACAUUUUCCGACGUAGGGCGUGGCGGCGUUGCUUCGGUGUUCACUGCGCAAUGUGACGUCAGAGUGACGUCUUUUCUAGGUAAUUUUGGACGUCCAAUUUUGGUCCACUGAAGGGGUUGUUUUGUAACGCCAGGU
ensembl:lncRNA